rnacentral:rRNA from 1 species
UGGGUAGUCCGCACGAGCGCACCUCAUCUUCAGUUGCUAACGCUUAGGGCGAGCACUUUGGAGAAACUGCCUGGGAUGACUAGGAGGAAGGCGAGGAUGACGUCAAGUCCUCAUGGCCCUUAUGGGCUGGGCUACACACGUGCUACAAUGGCGGUGACAACGGGAAGCAAAAGGGCAACCUCGAGCAAAUCCCCAAAAACCGUCUCAGUUCGGAUUGUACUCUGCAACUCGAGUGCAUGAAGUUGGAAUCGCUAGUAAUCGUGGAUCAGCAUGCCGCGGUGAAUACGUUCCCGGGCCUUGUACACACCGCCCGUCACACCAUGGGAGUUGGUUUUACCCGAAGGCGGUGCGCUAACCUUUAAGGAAGCAGCCGACCACGGUAGGGUCAGCGACUAGGGUGAAGUCGUAACAAGGUAGCCGUAGGGGAACCUGCGGCUGGAUCACCUCCUUUCU